CGAAAACUCCACAGAAGAAGAAGAAGAAGACGACGACUGGGUUGGAUUUUAUGCAAUUUUGAUGUAAUCACGUGGGGCUAUCCGAUUAGGUAUGCAGAUAGCGUGCAGACGAACACCAACAGCAAUCGGAUUUCGAGUUUACUCACUUUGGACUCCCGAUUCGAGGGAGUGCGGAUACGGAGUGCGGAUACAGUGCGUUCGUCUUCACCAUACGGCUAUCCGGAGACUGGGUACACCGGGUUGAGACAAACUAGAGUCCGUCUGCACGGGGUCUUAAGCCUCUCUAGUCUAUUCAGAGUGCUGCCGCACGUGUAUUAACAAGAACAAAGAAAAGAGAUAAUAUUGCUCCUGUAUUAGCUUCUCUGCACUGAAUUCCUGUUAAAUCAAGAAAAUAAUUAGAAAUACUUCUCCUCACUUACUGGCUGGUCAGGCACCAUCUUAUCUUAAGGAUAUUAUAAUACCAUAUUGCCACACUAGAGAGCUUCGCUCCAUAAAUGCAGAGUCACUUCAGGUUCCUAGAGUCUUAAAAAAGUUGGAUGGGAGCCAGAACCUUCAGUUAUCAGGCUCCUCUUUUGUGGAACCAGCUUCCACUUUCAGUCUGGAGCAGACACAGUCACCAAAUUUAAGACUAGGCUUAGGCCUAGACUCCCGGGGGAUUUCUUAGGACACACCAAGCUCCUCUCUCUCUCCUACUAUAAUAAUUCACAUCUCAUUAAUGCACAUCACUAAUUCAGCUUCUUCCCCAGAAUUUUUGUAUCUCUUGCAUCAAUCAGUAACGUGUUGCGUCGUGAGACAUCUAUUAUUACAGCAUAAUGUGUUUCCCCUCUCCUUUUUGUCCUUUUGCCUUUAUAUCCUCCUCCUCUGCCCUCUAUCAGUCUGCCAACCUCUCACAUUUAGAUUUCCUUUCUCAUUACACCCCCCCGUCCCAAUUUCAGUUUCUAUCCACGGGACCAAAACAAGCAAAGACAAUUAUCACCAAUACAUUUUAAAGCAAAGGCCCAGGGAGGUGAGAAGAGGUGUCUCUGGGGUGCGCGAUGCAAAGGAACAGUGGGGUUCUCCAUGUGCAGUUCUUAAAAAAUGCUAAAAAGCUCUUAAAUUUCUCCUUUGUCUCUUACUUUCUGCCUUUUGUUUUCAGAUUCACAUCAUCAUUACCGCAGCCUUGUUCGGGUCCAACAGGGGUAAUGAGGUGUUCAGCUGGCAUGAGGUGAGGGCGGGGCAGGUUUCCUGGGAGCCUGGAGCGGAGGCUGGAUCACUCCUGCCAUCACACCUGUUAAUCAUCUACCCUCGUCUGAACACCCUUCUUAAGGAUCUGCAGGAGUUCCAGUCUAUCUCGCUUCCUGAGCGUCUAGCUCCCGUUGCCGGAACCUGCUACAUGUUUGAAUCCUUCACUGCCUUCACUGCGGACUUUAAGCCUCAGCCUACAGCCAGCACCCUCCUCUCUUGUAAGGACUACCAACGGCACCACUGGAUGCAUCAUUCCUUGCAACCCUCCUAACUGACUAUUCCUGUAUCUGGUAAUGCUCCUUUACUGAGGUUCCUCCCCCCCCGAAGAUCUACAAACACCACCUAAUAAACAUUGUUCUCACUUCCACCUCUGCCUACAAUGUCUGCAUUCUGGGCCCUCACAAUACAGGGGACGGCUAGUUGAGCUAGCCGUGAAACCUAAAUUAUUAAGGGAAAGUAACAAUCAGUGUCAUUAGUUACAGUAAUAACUUUGUUUUCAAAAGCUCUUGGAACAAACAAUGCUCUAUAAGCAGGAGUAUGUGAAUUAACUGGUGCUUGAAAACAGAGGCAUGCUGUAAAAAUGUGAUGAAACAGAACUGGGCUUGCUGUACAUAUUAAAAGAC
ensembl:lncRNA